rnacentral:misc_RNA from 1 species
GAUGAAGAACGCAGCGAAAUGCGAUAAGUAAUGUGAAUUGCAGAAUUCCGUGAAUCAUCGAAUCUUUGAACGCACAUUGCGCCCCCUGGCAUUCCGGGGGGCAUGCCUGUCCGAGCGUCAUUUCUGCCCUCCAGCCCGGCUGGGUGUUGGGCGCUGUCUCCCCGGGGACACGCCCCAAAGGCAGUGGCGGCGCCGCGUCGGGUCCUCGAGCGUAUGGGGCUUUGUCACCCGCUCGGGACGGACUCGUCGGCGCUGGUCUUCCUCCAGGCGACCCUUCGGGGCUCGUCUUCCUUCGGUUAACCUCGGAUCAGGUAGGGUUACCCGCUGAACUUAAGCAUAUCAAAAGCGGAGGA